GGCCAUAGCUCAGUGGUAGAGCAUCUGCCUUGCACACAGAAGGUGCCUGGUUCAAUCACCGGCAUGUCUAGGUAGGGCUG